UCCCUGGUGGCUCAGAUGGUAAAGAAUCUGCCUGUAAUGCAGGAGACCCAGGUUUGAUUCCUGGGUCGGGAA
rnacentral:tRNA from 1 species